AUCGCAUUACUUUUCAUUCCUAAUUAUCUGGAUGAAGCACAGUUUCUUUACCUAUUCAUUCACUGAAGGAUAGAGUUUUUUGCAAUUCUGAAUAAAACUGUCAUAACAUCCAUGUGUAAGUUCUUGGGCAGUUUUAGGUUUUCGACAUCCCUGAGUUGAUGCCAAGAAUUGUGAUUUUAUUACAAGAUUUCAUUUGCUCUUUCUUUUCAAGUUUCCCAAAGUGAAUAUGCAUCUGCUACUGUGGUCUUCCAGGAUGGUUUUCCUAGGUCACACACUUGCCAUGAGGUGAACAGCAUUGCUACAUGGUACCAUCCUGAGGCAAACAGCAUUGUUACUCCAUAUCAUCCUGUGUCCAUGCUGCUUUACUUCACCACAGCAAUGGAAUACAACAGCCAUGCACUACACCAUAUUUUGACACAACAACAAUGAGUGGCUUACACAAGGGCCAUGCCCCUGGAGUCAGGCAACUGCAUCUUUUGUCUUCUAACCUUUGGCCUGCCCUCAUGAAACAAGUGGAGGCAGAACUUGUAUUAAUCAGGAUGCUGUAAAGGAACAGAACUGAUUGAAUGUGGUGUGUGUGUGUGUGUGUGUGUGUGUGUGUGUGUGUGUGUGUGUGUGUUGUGUAUGAGGUGAGGGUGGGAUUUAAAUGCAGUCUGUGUUCC
ensembl:lncRNA